GUGAAUCAUCAAAUCUUUGAACGCACAUUGCACUCCCUGGUAUUCCGGGGAGCAUGCCUGUUCGAGGGUCGUUAGUAUACACAAUCGAGGCGUCGCUCUUUUUUUUAGGGUGAUCGCGUCGGAAUUGAGCCGCCUUUCAAAUGUUAAUUCAUGUUAAAGUGGCUUAAAAUCCAUCCAUCCGGUACGAUUCUUGCGUAUUUAAGAUCACUUUUGUUCAAGAUCGCUCGCUGAC
rnacentral:misc_RNA from 1 species